rnacentral:rRNA from 1 species
GAUGAACGCUGGCGGCGUGCCUAAUACAUGCAAGUCGAGCGAACAGACGAGGAGCUUGCUCCUCUGACGUUAGCGGCGGACGGGUGAGUAACACGUGGAUAACCUACCUAUAAGACUGGGAUAACUUCGGGAAACCGGAGCUAAUACCGGAUAAUAUAUUGAACCGCAUGGUUCAAUAGUGAAAGACGGUUUUGCUGUCACUUAUAGAUGGAUCCGCGCCGCAUUAGCUAGUUGGUAAGGUAACGGCUUACCAAGGCAACGAUGCGUAGCCGACCUGAGCGGGUGAUCGGCCACACUGGAACUGAGACACGGUCCAGACUCCUGCGGGAGGCAGCAGUAGGGAAUCUUCCGCAAUGGGCGAGAGCCUGACGGAGCAACGCCGCGUGAGUGAUGAAGGUCUUCGGAUCGUAAAACUCUGUUAUUAGGGAAGAACAAAUGUGUAAGUAACUAUGCACGUCUUGACGGUACCUAAUCAGAAAGCCACGGCUAACUACGUG